CGUAGCUCAGCUGGAUAGAGCGUCGCCCUCCGGAGGCGAAGGUCUCAGGUUCGAAUCCUG
rnacentral:ncRNA from 14 species